rnacentral:rRNA from 1 species
UAACUGGCCGCCGGGGGGCUCACGCCCCCGGGCCCGCGCCCGCCGAAGACACCCCCGAACUCUGCCUGAAGAUUGUCGUCUGAGUGAAAAUAUAAAUUAUUUAAAACUUUCAACAACGGAUCUCUUGGUUCCGGCAUCGAUGAAGAACGCAGCGAAAUGCGAUACGUAAUGUGAAUUGCAAAUUCAGUGAAUCAUCGAGUCUUUGAACGCACAUUGCGCCCCCUGGUAUUCCGGGGGGCAUGCCUGUCCGAGCGUCAUUGCUGCCCUCAAGCCCGGCUUGUGUGUUGGGCCCCGUCCUCCGAUUCCGGGGGACGGGCCCGAAAGGCAGCGGCGGCACCGCGUCCGGUCCUCGAGCGUAUGGGGCUUUGUCACCCGCUCUGUAGGCCCGGCCGGCGCUUGCCGAUCAACCCAAAUUUUUAUCCAGGUUGACCUCGGAUCAGGUAGGGAUACCCGCUGAACUUAAGCAUAUCAAUAA